UCAACCCGAUAGAACACCUUUGGGAUGAAUUAGAGCGGAGACUGAGAGCCAGGCCUUCUCGUCCAACAUCAGUGUGUGACCUCACAAAUGCGCUUCUGGAAGAAUGGUCAAAAAUUACCAUAAACACACUCCUAAACCUUGUGGACAGCCUUCCCAGAAGAGUUGAAGCUGUUAUAGCUGCAAAGGGUGGACCAACGUCAUAUUGAACUCUAUGGAUUAGGAAUGGGAUGUCAUUUAAGUUCAUAUGCGAGUCAAGGCAGGUGAGCGAAUACUUUUGGCAAUAUAGUGUAUAUAUCACUAUGCCAUGUUAUGAAGCAUCUGCUGAGAUUUUAGUGCUCUUGUGUGGGUCAUAAUAUCUGAGCACUGGCUCUUCUUUAAUGAUGUGUUUCAGGUUUUGAAAGCAUGCCUCCUGCUUGUGAGACCACACCCACUCAUUCUUUUGUUCUAGCAGACAUCCGAGUGGAGCAGAACGUGUUGAUAGCUGGGGAAUGAAUUUGGCCAGGUAUGUGACCAUUCCAAGGAAUCUUCUCGCUUCCUCUGUACUUUGUGGCAUGUUGUCUAUUGCUGAUGUUUUUUUUAGGUCUGGCCUAAUGCCUUCUUCAGACCGGACAUCUCCAACGAGAGUUAAGCUCUUAACUGCAAACUCACACUUCUCUUUGUUCAAUUUUCGAUUGGACUGUCCUGUUAGCUCCAGAACCUGCUUCAGUCAUGCAUCAUGUUCCUGCUGGUUGGAACCCCACACAAUUAUGUCAUCCAUCAUAGUCUAUACACCUGGUAGAUGCUCAAAGAUCAUGUGAAUAGUUUUGUGGUAAACUUCUAGUGCUGAGUGAAUGUCAUAAGGGAGACAGAGAAAACAAUAUCUGCCUUCAGGUGUAUUGAAGGUACACAGUUUUUAACUUGCCUCAUCAAGUUUCAUUUGCCAAACCCCAGAUGAUGCAUCCAGCUUGCAGAACCACUUUGAUCCAGUGAACUGAGACAUGAUUUCUUCUCUGGUUGGCAGUUUAAAAUGUUCACGUUUUAUGGCCCUGUUGAGAUCUCUUGGGUCAAGAUAUAUUCUCAAAGCUCCAUUUUUCUUGAGCACAAUAACAAGUGAGCUCACCCAGUCUGUUGGUUCAUCAACUGUCUUUAUAACCUUUAGCUUCUCCAUGUCAGCUAAUUCGUCUUUAAGUUUUCCUCUCAAAGCAAAUGGAACAUUUCUGCAUGCAUGUACAACUGGUGUUAUUGUGUCAUCAACACUUAUUUUAUCCUUCCCAGGCAGACAUCCUAGUCCUUCAAAAACAUCUUCAUACUCCUGCAUGAAUGAGGUUUCAUUUGUUUCAAUCUGUGAUGCCACUACAAACACCUUCCUUUUUUUUUUAAAUUUUUAGCACGUGCUCAGUCCUAAAAUUGGCUGGACAUUCUUUUCCACAAUCAGCAUCUGUGACUUUACCUGCUGUCCCUUGUGUUUAAGAGUCACCAAGCAGCUCCCUUUGACAGGGACACUUGGAAAACAGGAAAACUUUCGUUUUCACUGGAUGUAUUUUGAUUUUGAGGGUUUUGUAGUCAGAAUUAGACAAGAGAUUGACUUGUGCUGCAGUAUCUAAUUUGAAGCCAAUUUUUACAUUUACGGUCAGUGGUACAAUCCAUUCAGCUUUGUCUGUUGUGCUAGUCUGUACAGAAUCAACAAAGAAUUUGUCAGGCUGCUCUUCAACUGAGACCAUUAUUAGGAGUCCCACAAACUAUUUUGUCCCUCACAAGUGAGUCUCUUAAAUCUCCAAAUUCACAAGUCUUACUCAGUCGAAAGAAAAACUUGUUCCUAUCAAAAGUGACAUUCUUACUUGGCACAAAGAAUUCCUCAAAGUUUGCCAUUAGAACAGUCAGUUAGAUUUGCGCCAUUGAGUUGAAGCUAUUACAAAUGUCCAGUGCAUCUUCACCUAUUACAUGCAAAAACAUGGAUGCCUUUAGCUUUUCAUCGCCUCUCCCUGCACCGCUAGCUGCUAGAUAGAUGUUGAAUCUUUGCUUGAAACGUUUCCAGUUAUCAGUGUAGGAGCAGCAUAGGUGAUGGUGGAUUUAAGCUCUCCAUGACGGGAAAAAAAACAAGACUGUGAGUCAGGCCUUCUCGUUCAACAUCAGUGCAUGACCUCACAAAAGCACUUCUACAGGAAUGGUCAAAAAUUCCCAUGAACACACUCCUAAACCUUGUGGAAAGCCUUCCCAGAAGAGUUGAAGCUGUUAUAGCUGCAAUGGGCAGGCCAGCUCCAUAUUAAACACUACAGACUAAGAAUGGGAUGUCAUUAAAUUUCAUGGACCUAAAAUUUCGCUAAAUUUUCUCGAUUUUUAUCUUAAAUCCAGUCCAAUAUUAUAACUUUUUAUAGUAUCUUUAUUAGCCGAUAGUAUCCCAUAAUAUUCUCAUUUCAAAUGCUUUUUAUAUCAUUAGUUAUAUUUGUUUUCCAGAACACCCGCUUAUAGCCGGUUAGCCCAUUAGCACGUUAGCCCGGCUACCACAAGUUGGCUUAUGUUUUUCACACCAAUUAUCUCUGUUGUGCUACUGCUCUUAAACACUAUGUCAGUUGUGGGUCUGCCUUUGAGUGCAGGUGAGGAUUUAUUCAAGCUGCACUCUGUGGACUUGGAGCUGGAGGCCAUGCAGAAGCAGAUCCACAACCUAUAAAUGAAGCUAGCCCAGCUGUGAGAUCGGAACGCCGCGCUGGAAUCAUCCCGGAUUGACGCUCACCUGUCCCAGGUAAAUCCGUGGCGUGAAACAAACACUCCCACAACCUCAACUCCGUGUUCUUCUCUGCCCAGGCCCAACGCACCAAGGACGCGGCCCGCCCAGGUUUCCUUCACUCCGGUCCCUGGGUACCACGCAGCCUGGAUGCAGCAGCAGCGGAAGACACGAGCCAAGCCCGGGGCGAGGACCUCUCCCCCUCCCCACCCGUUUUCGAGAUCUCAACCCGCAACCACUUCGCUCCCCUUUGCGAGACGGAGUGCGAUGUGGUGAUCAUCGGAGACUCCACACAUCCGUGCUACUGCGGCUAAAGGUAAGGUGCGCACUCGCUGUUUUCCUGGUACUCGUGUUGUUGACGUCACUGCACAGGUACAGCGAUCCUGAAUAAGAACAUCGGAGCUGUGGUCCUCCAUGCUGGCAUGAACGACAUCAGGCUGAGGCAGACGGAGAUCCUGAAGAAGGACUUCAGGAGCCGAUUCCGACUAAAAAAGCCAUCCCGAGGCAUACAGAGAUUGUGCCAGCUCCAGUGGCAUCCAGAGAUGGACCAGCUCCAGCCGGGUUCUGCUUUGUGAGGAUUCGGGUAUUCAAAGCAACACUGCCAACCUUAUGUGGACGACAACAACCUCCUUAUUAUUUUACAUAACAUUCUACACAUGCUGUAUCUGCAUCACACAAUUGACUAUACAUAAAUGCACAAAGGACAUUGUUCAUAUCACACUCUCUGGUGUUUACAAUAAUUUAUAAUCACACUCUCCACUGUCACCCAAAUGAGGAUGGGUUCCCUUUUGAGUCUGGUUCCUCUCAAGGUUUCUUCCUCAUACCAUCUAAGGGACUUUUUCCUUGCCACAGUCACCUCAGGCUUGCUCACUUGAGAUAACAUCUAGGACUGUUUGCCUGUUUAUAUGUUUGUUGUUUCUUAUGUAAAGCUGCUUUGAUGGAACGCUCUUUGUUAAAAGUGCUAUAAAAAUAAAAUUGAAUUGAUUUGAAUGUGCAUGUAAAGGCAGACGUCCCAAAACUUUUGGCUAUAAAGUCGAUAUUACUAUUUGCACAUACUGAACACUUGUAAAUAAAUUACAGUGUUUUCUCUAAGUCAACCUUUAGGGACAUAAUAAUCACAUUGGACGAAGGCGUAUUUGGAAGGAGAACUGCUGGAUGCAGGAGGAUUUGGCUGUGUGUUUGCUGGACUACGCAAAGAAGACGGAUUGCCAGUUGCAAUCAAGUACGUCUCCAAAAAGAUGCCAUAUGAAAAACUGCAGCUUACAGGAUAUGGAUGGCUGCCCAUUGAGAUAGCUUUGAAGAUCCUUGCAAACACAGAACCUUGCUCAAAAAUCCUGAAGAUUCUGGACUGGCACGAAGAGGCAAAGUGAUAUAUCGUACUCCUGGAACAGCCUGAACCAUGUGUGGACCUCGAGGAACUCUCCGGCAAGCAAGGUGGAUGUUUGACUGAGGUCGAGGCUCGCAAUGUGAUGUUUCAGCUGAUGGAAGCAUUGAAGCAUUGCAAGAGCCAGGGGAUACUGCAUCGUGAUGUCAAGCCAGAAAACAUUCUGAUUCAGACAGACACGUUUCAAGUCAAGCUGUUUGACUUGAAAGAGACCUCGUCAAAGACCCUUACAGUUACUUUGCAGGUGUCUGAUGUCUAAAUCUAAUGUAUCUUUGUUAACACUUGAAUAUGCCCCUCCUGCUCCCCGAAAGUCUGUCUCAAGGCAAGGAACUAUACUCAAUUUAAUACUUUUGAAAAAGUCAAGAACUUUGAGUCUGUAUCUUUGUCCCGCUGAACAGUAACACGUCAAU